rnacentral:rRNA from 1 species
CACACCUCUAAAAGAACAAGUAUGCAAUCAUGACUAGUCUCAUAUACGUCAGGUCAAGUGCAGCCAAUGGGGAAGGUGAUGAUGGGUUACAACCUAAAUAAAGACACGGAAUAAAGUUCUAAUAGCUUUAUAAAAGUGGACUUGGGUGUAAUAAUGACUAAAUACCAAAAUGAAAUCGAAUCUAAGACAUGCACACAUCGCCCGUCACUCUUGCCUAAAGGCAAGAUAAGUCGUAACAAAGUAGGUGUAACGGAAGUUGCACCUGU